ensembl:snRNA U6 U6 spliceosomal RNA
GUGUUUUCUUUUAGCAGCACAUUUACUAAAAUUGGCAUGAUACAGAGAAGACAAGUAUAGUGUUUGUUCAUGGAUAACUUGCAAGUUUGUGACAUUGUCCAUAUAUAU